rnacentral:pre_miRNA from 1 species
UUAAGUCAAAGUUUGUAUGAAGUUGGAAUGUUUGCCUACGUUUGCCGCUAGGGGCGCUGCUCCAACUCUAUACUAGCUUGAGUUA